UACGGGAGGCAGCAGUGGGGAAUAUUGCACAAUGGGCGAAAGCCUGAUGCAGCUAUGCCGCGUGUAUGAAGAAGGCCUUAGGGUUGUAAAGUACUUUCAUCGGGGAGGAAAAAACAAAACUAAUAAUUUUAUUUCUUGACGUUACCCGAAAAAGAAGCACCGGCUAACUCCGUGCCAGCAGCCGCGGUAAUACGGAGGGUGCUAGCGUUAAUCAGAAUUACUGGGCGUAAAGAGCACGUAGGUGGUUUUUUUAAGUCAGAUGUGAAAUCCCUGGGCUUAACCUGGAACUGCAUUUUGAAACUGAAAUACUAGAGUAUCGUAGAGGGAGGUAGAAUUCUAGGUGUAGCGGUGAAAUGCGUAGAUAUCUGGAGGAAUACCUGUGGCGAAAGCGGCCUCCUAAACGAAUACUGACACUGAGGUGCGAAAAGCGUGGGGAGCAAAACAGGGAUUAGAUACC
rnacentral:rRNA from 1 species